AGGACGAACGCUGGCGGCGGGCUUAACACAUGCAAGUCGAACGAAGCCUUCGGGCUUAGUGGCGCACGGGUGAGUAACACGUAGGCAACCUACCCUCAGCUGGGGAAUAACCAGGGGAAACCCUGGCUAAUACCGCAUAACGUCGUCGCGACCACCUGGUCGUACGACCAGAGUUCUGGCGGCUGAGGAUGGGCCUGCGUCGGAUUAGCUAGUUGGCGGGGUAACGGCCACCAAGGCGACGAUCCGUAGCGGGUCUGAGAGGAUGAUCCGCCACACUGGCACUGAGACACGGGCCAGACUCCUACGGGAGGCAGCAGUGGGGAAUAUUGGACAAUGGGCG
rnacentral:rRNA from 1 species